CGACGUGUCUUUGGUAUCCGGGUUAUCAAAAAUGGAGUAUACAAUCAUAUUUUUCUAAAUCAAUAUCCAAAAUCGCCUAAAAUGUUCUGUCCAACAGGGUUGGGAUCUAGCUCAGUCGGUAGAGCACUUGUCUAACGUGCUUGUGUCGGAGGAUCGAAACCCCUUGGUGGACCCAGUCUCUGACUGCAUUUUUUCUCUCGUCCCAACCAGUGCUCAUGAAUGGUAUAUUAAAAGCUGUGAUAUAUAAGCUGUCCUGUGUGAAAAAGUGCAAAUAAACGAUCCCUUGCUG